AUUCAUCACACUUCUGGAAAUAUUGCAGGAAACAAGGGCUUCUUCUAGUGUCGCAUCCCUUUCUGUAAAACUGGACCAUCGGCUUUAAGAUCCCUCUGGAAUGAAGACUAGAACGGACUUUAAAGACUUUGGAUCCACAGAAACCCAGCCUGUCUCGUCUGCUUCAGGGACUGCAGAUGCUCUGGACCAGAGCAUCUCUAGCUUGUGUUUAGUGUUCUUCUGUCCGUGGUCGCUGUCAGAAACCACCUCCUAGUCAGAAUCCGACAGAUCAAACCCGUCUUUAGGAUCUAACGGGUUAAAGUAGAGCCUCCAGUGACGCAUAGGACAGAUGGAAACGUGUUUAAUGAACUGAAUAUUCAGACACACGCUCAAAGAAAACAUGUAUGUUGCUUUUCAUACCAGCUUAAUAAAUGCAAAUCCCUGUGCUGCUAAGUCAGAUUUGUUUAUUCCUCAUCAUGUAAAACAGGCCGACAUGGAGAAAAGAGUUCAGCCACCUCAUGGACCUCCUGCAGGGAAAACCUCAACGUUUGCCUCAUUAAAGAAAACUACCAAACCUCCUGAAACAAAUCAGGAGCUCUGAAUUAUCCUCUCACUGCUGCAAACACUGGACAUACCCUAAAGGUCCUUACACACCGGGAGCGAUGCGAAUAAACGAUGCGAAAUUGCGAAAUAUUCGGAUGCGAGUUUGACGCACCUGUCCAUACAUAUCAAGCACGAUGCGUUUUUGCGACUUUCCGAAGGGGAGGAAGACGUUGCCGUAAUGUAUUUCCACCUCUUCUGUUUUCCACCUGCCUGGCCACUCCUCGUCAUUUCUCCCUCCUCUCUCUUCUUUCUCACGUACGUGUCCCUCAAAUUCCUCCACAUCUUCUUCACUUCUUCAACUAUAAAGUAUGAAUAAUAAUAUCUACCAUAUGCCACAGAUACUAAAAGCAGAAAACACAACACCGGACGGAUUAUUUUCAGUUCUGAUUAGAUGCGUUGCGAUGUCUUUCUGUCUUGAUAUCAUGUACUGUAAUGUGAGUCGGGGCCAGUACCGGGUAAGCAAAACAUUAAACUAUAAUCCAUAAACGUAAGGUAACAACCGAGACCUAAUUGAUGACCGUGACAUCAACGCAAUUGACAGUGAAAAGUAUGUUGUAUGCCGGUGAAUGGGAUGUCGCAACAACACACAAUCUGAUUGGUCAGAAGUGGUCACAAAGAAUGCGAAACUUUAGAAAAAUCGACCAUGAUCCGAAAAAAUAAAUGCCGCAAAAUCGCUGAGCGAGAAAACGUUGCCGAUGUGAACGCGUGUAUUGACAGGAUACAGGUUCGAAAAAAAAUAUUGACGUCCAAAAAAAACGCACCCGGUGUGUAAGGACCUUAAAUCACAACUUUUACCACGACAUUAUGAGCUGUAAUCCUUCAGUGAGCAGAAUUUAUACUCAGAUAUUUACAUCUACAAGUCAUUCAUGCUUCUGUUUUACACUGCAUCUAUUUACAUCCUUCCAAACUGUACAUCUUGAAUCUACUUGAACUGAAUCUUUGCCCAAACAAACUUCUGUUGAAGAUCAGUUUUAAUCUCUUUACACUGACAUAAAGCAGACAUAAACAAGCCUAUCAAACACCGGAAAACGUCCAGAGCUGUUCUGAGACAAACUAACGCUGUAGAACGUUUUCCUCUGAACAGGACGGUGAAGCCUCCAGACGUACUCACAGGAUCAAAGAAGCAGACUAACAGGCUGUAACCCAGAGCUGUGGUCAGAGCCAGAGCUUCAUUCAGCUCCUCACAGCUCCAGGAGCCUCUAGUCCCAGGCUCCACUGCAUCCAGGCCAUGACCAGCCAGCAGCAUGGUGGAGCCGCCUCUGAGUCUGCCGGGUCGAUCAACAGGUCCACAGGUCUAACAGGUCCACAGGUCUAACAGAUCUAACAGGUCCACAGGUCUAACAGAUCUAACAGGUCCACAGAUCUAACAGGUCCACAGGUCUAACAGGUCUAACAGGUCUAACAGGUCCACAGGUCUAACAGGUCUAACAGGUCCACAGAUCUAACAGGUCCACAGAUCUAACAGGUCCACAGAUCUAACAGGUCCACAGGUCUAACAGGUCUAACAGGUCCACAGAUCUAACAGGUCCACAGAUCUAACAGGUCCACAGAUCUAACAGGUCCACAGAUCUAACAGGUCCACAGGUCUAACAGGUCUAACAGAUCUAACAGGUCCACAGAUCUAACAGGUCCACAGGUCUAACAGGUCCACAGGUCUAACAGAUCUAACAGGUCCACAGAUCUAACAGGUCUAACAGGUCCACAGAUCUAACAGGUCUAACAGGUCCACAGAUCUAACAGGUCUAACAGGUCCACAGAUCUAACAGGUCCACAGGUCUAACAGGUCCACAGGUCUAACAGGUCUAACAGGUCCACAGAUCUAACAGGUCCACAGGUCUAACAGGUCCACAGAUCUAACAGGUCCACAGAUCUAACAGGUCCACAGGUCUAACAGGUCUAACAGGUCUAACAGGUCCACAGGUCUAACAGGUCUAACAGAUCUAACAGGUCCACAGGUCUAACAGGUCUAACAGGUCCACAGAUCUAACAGGUCCACAGGUCUAACAGGUCCACAGAUCUAACAGGUCCACAGGUCUAACAGGUCCACAGGUCUAACAGGUCCACAGGUCUAACAGGUCCACAGAUCUAACAGGUCCACAGAUCUAACAGGUCCACAGGUCUAACAGGUCUAACAGAUCUAACAGGUCCACAGAUCUAACAGGUCUAACAGGUCCACAGAUCUAACAGGUCUAACAGGUCCACAGAUCUAACAGGUCUAACAGGUCCACCCCGCUGGACUCGGCUGGCGUGGCAGAA